ACACUACAUAUCACAAUACACUACAUAUCACAGUACACUACAUAUCACAGUACACUACAUAUCACAGUACACUACAUAUCACAGUACACUACAUAUCAAAUGAAAAAGACUCUUAGAAUUCCCAAACGUUGAUGGAUAAAACCAUUGUUUGUUUAUUUGUUUGUUUGUUUGUUUGUUUGUUGUUGUUUUUUUAUUUUGAUACAACAAUAUGACGUAAAUGCAGUGGAGUUAUGUCGCACAAGAGUGGACCGAAUUAAAUGAAUUAUCACGCCUGUGACGUUUUUAGUUUAAACAUGUUUUAUUGUCAAAUAAAGAGACAAAGGAAUUGGACACAAAUUAUAACAUAAAAACAAAUACAACAUACAAUGAACCUAGACAAUAUCAACUGAUUGUAUACUAGGCAUAUCUAAAUCAGAAUCGUUUACUUGAUUGGUGAAGUGAUGCACGUGUCUAAAAACAUACAAUCCACUUCCAUGCAAUAAAACCUUGUUUACAUUAACAUGUACAUGUAUAUCAAAUUAGAUUAUCCUAUAAUUACAAUGUAACAUAAAAGAAAUGAUAAGAUGUCCUAACUGUUGUUAAAACAAGUCGUACUUUAAUUGGCGACAUCGAUGUCUGAAUUUGGUAAGUAAAAUAUUUGUCUUUCUAUCUUCAAAAUUAUAUUAGGCUAUGUAUUUAUUCUGAGAAACGUUGCACAUCGAACAGACGUUGUCCUCAAGUAGGCCUAACUGUGGGAUGAGCGAUCGCACAUCUGUGCCGUUUCGUAAGAGAUCGGAGAUUAAUUUUGUGACAUGACAAAAGUACGGAAUGAGUCGUAUUAAGGACGCAUAUGGAUUACAAUCCGUUUUUAAUUCUGUAUUAAAUUCUAGUCCAUAUGAAAUAAUGAAAAAACAAGCUUAGAUUAUAUUAUAUACCUUUUAAUAUGGGUUAGUAAGACCAAUGCAAAGCAUUCAUAAUCAGAGUUUUACUUACCACAGGUAAAAACAGGUAAACAUACAGGUACAUGUAAUAGAAUAUGAUUACAGCUUGGGGAAUUAUCUCGGUGUCAAAGAAUUCAAUGUUUAUUAUCGUUUAUUUAUCAACACAACAUGGCAUGAAUUACACAUGUACAUCAUUUUUAUUCGUGUCAUGUUAGUAUUUAAGCGUAUAUAUAUUCGGUACAGCCUGACACUUCAUGCCUCGAUGACGAGUGAUAAGCCAAUGCUAUCUAGUCGAUAAAAUGACAGCAUUUAAUUUUAAUUUUCUAAAAUAGACUCCAAGAUGGAUAAGCUGAUAUUUAUGUGUAAUUAAGUUUCCAUCAAACACACUAAUUACAUCUAAUUUCAAAUAGAUUGAAUGGGCGAGAGGCAUAUGGUGAAAGUUGUGUGCCAGGUAGAUACUUGUGCUGUUAUGUUUGCCUUUGUAUAUAAUGUAUCAUGUCUUGUGCUAUUGUGAUAAGUUGUAAAACUUAAGCAAAUAAAGAAUCUGAAUCAGACACAACACCUGUCUCCGGAAGAGUUGGCGAGACAAAGUCUGUAUAGUGGGAUUCUG